rnacentral:rRNA from 1 species
UACAGAGACUGCAAGCGUUAUUCGGAUUCACUGGGCGUAAAGGGUGUGUAGGCGGGUCUUUAAGUCAGUGGUGAAAUCUCCGAGCUCAACUUGGAAACUGCCAUUGAUACUAUUGAUCUUGAAUUCUGUUGAGGUAGGCGGAAUAAGUCAUGUAGCGGUGAAAUGCAUAGAUAUGACUUAGAACACCAAUUGCGAAGGCAGCUUACUAAGCAGAUAUUGACGCUGAGGCACGAAAGCGUGGGGAUCAAACAGG